AGGCACAGCAACGACCUUUAGAACCAAGAAGUCAAGGGGGUGGGGAGUGUCAUGUGAUGCAAGUGCAUAGGAAGCCGUCAGGUACACAGGACGCAUUUCAGUAACAUUUUACUAACGGGAGCCCGCCUUCCACGGGGAUCACAGGGUGCCACGCCCUGCUCAUGAUAGGAAACACUGAAUGUUAUCAUUUAUUAAUCAAAAAAUAGGCUGUUAGCUAGCUAGGAUACAGAUAUUGCAAACAGCCAGUUUGCCUAAAGGAUUUACUCUUUCAGGCAUAAAACCCUUCUCAUUACUUGGUACAGAGACGAGUAUAAAUUACGUUGCAAGUCAGUUUAUGCAAAUUAUUUUGCAUUUUCCUGCCUCCCAGCUCCUCCCUGAAGUAAAAAUACAUGCAAAACAGUCUCUUUUUUUAAUUUUAUUUUUUCCCCUUUGCUUUGUGCAAACUAACCACAUUAAAAUGCAAUAUUUCUAGAAUGACGUGGAAAGGUACGGUACCCCAGAAAGAAGUCAGCGUAUUUGAUGGGGUGUAAAAGGCUCUUUGUUCCGUGUGUUUGUUUGCCUACCUGCCUGCCUGCUUACCCGAGGAUGUGCCCGUCUGCCCAGUGCCAGCCAACCACUAAGCAGCCAUUUAAUCCUGCAUGACUCCUCCGCAUCUUGGCCACCUCGCGGGGAGGAACAAACGCCGAGGCAGUCAAAGCUUAGGUUUCCCAGCAACCUAUGACCUGGUAGGAAAAUGUGCACUGUGCCAAUCUGAUUCCCUCUGCCUGGAAUCCAGACUAAAAGCAAAGUAAGCAUUGCCAGUUAGCAAUGAAAACUGCAGCUGUAGGAUCAUGAGAAAGGCAGGACCAUGAAAACCUUAGCUGGCUGACCUGUAUGCAGGAUAAAGUUGGGCACUGGUGGGAGCUGGGGAAGCAGGGCUCAGGGAUUGGUUAGAAGCAAGAAGCAGUAUUCAGAGUGCAGCUGAGUCACUUGGGUGGGUGAAUGCUAGGAAGGUUGGCUGAAGAUCUCUAGACCCUGGCCCAGCACCACCCCACGACUGCCCCUGUGAUGUCAGUGUGUGCAGUGCCUUGCCCUGGAUCCAGGGAUUGGCAUGCCCCCCACCGCGACUGGUAUCCAUUCUACUUGAGUUAGACUUUGAGGAAAGGGGUAUCUCUGUUUUUGCAAGCAUAAGAGCUUUUUCCAAAACACUUAUCUAACAUCAGCAUUAGAGAAGCCUUGGCUCCAAAACACCAUGAAGGCACAGCUUGGGAAUAACAGUAAUUGAUAAAGAUGACAGCGUCCAGAUCAUACACAAACAUUAGCUCCACUGGACUCUGCACUCCUCAGAACCAGGGCACCUGCUUAGCAAAGGACAUCAACAAUUGAGGAGCCAUGAAGAGGAACUCAGUAAGUACAAUGAGGGCAUUAGAAACCAUCUCAUACAAGGACUGAAAACACAGGGUAUUUUUUACUUUGAAAGUAAAAACUAGGGAGACAGGGGAGAUGUUUUUUAUAUUUGUAGAGCUGCCACCUGGAGAUACAGCAGACUUGCAUCUUGUUCCUGCAAAGGCGAGAACUAGGAUUGGACAGAAGUUCUAAGGAGCUAGGUUUUAGCUCAGAGUUUCUUAACAAUGGAAUGUUUUGCUGCAAGGUAGGGAGUAUACAGCCUCUGGAGGGAUCCAAAUAGGGGCCAGUUGACCAGCUACCUUGUCCCAGGAGAUGGGAGUUUGGAGUAGUAGAGGGUCUCUGACAUUAUCUUCAGCACCACACACAAUGAGUUUUUCUAUAACGACUACACAUCAAUUAAGGCUGCAGAAAGAAGCUGAACAUUAAGCAGACCAUAAAAUAGAUAUUCCCUUCAUCUUUAGAAGACUUCAAGUGGCCCAGCAAGAAGGGGGUCGGUCAUGAGAUACCCCAGAUCCUCUGCUGCUGAGGAGACCAUGCUUCUCUGCAGGAGAAUGUUGUAGAGAGACCUCUUCUUACUGAGAUUAGCCUCUCAAAAGAGUAUCAUACACUUGUCACCUUUUAAGCAGAUGGAAAAUUCUGGAAAGGAACUUUAUUUUUUACGUCAGAGAAUUUUCCAAGGUAAAAACGGAUUCAACCCACUAGGUUGAAUACAGGCUAGGAAAGUACAAAAGAGCAGGCAAGCUGUUUCUCAAAGCUCUAACAAUGGUUUAGCACCACUUAUUCACUGGCCUUCAGUCCUACUGCCCAUGGAUCAUGCAAGUAAGUCCUGAUUACCUACAGAGACCACACACACCUCUAUGGUACAGCUAAAACAAACAAAAUAAAAACCAUUCUCUGUGUGUCCCUUUCUCUCUGUUGUGGUCACAUCCACUAUCCACACACUUCACAACUUGACAAAGGUCAUGGGGUAGGGAGAGAAAUCCCAGAAUGCUUCACUUAUACCAGGAUGCUUUCUGGAUUUACCAGUUAGGGUACGGCAUGGCAGAAAGCAACUUCUAGGAAUCUGCAGGUCAAAGCAUGACAGCCAAAUGACAAGUGAGUAAACCGUCACUCCCACUGAUGGCAGGAAUAGUCCAACUUAUUUUUUAAAAGGUCCUUUUCUUCUUAUUUUCAUACUAUGUCUUCCCACAGGACAGCAAUUCCAUUCCAGACACAGGGAAAUAGGAAAGUACCAGAAUACCUUCAAAUGAAAGUACUUAAAGGAUAUUUCUAUUGUCCUCAUUCAGGGUGUAAACUGAAGUCAUGUUAAACUAUUGUUAGAAACCAAAACCAGGGAGAGUGGCUUGCUUUUCGGUUAAACAUGAGCAGUCCCCUGUGAAGCACAGAAUGGUGCCCUGUGGAGCAUUCGGGCUUCCUUCCAUAACGAUGGUCAGGCACGCAGCCCAACCCGAGGUUAGGUGCCACCCAGGUAUCUACCCACAUCCCAGCCAUGGUGACUAGUCUGGCAGCAUUUCCCAGUGCCCACCCUCGCCCAGCUCUAAGCAGCCCUCCACUGCAGAGCUGUGCAUAGCGGCCGCUUUCCACUGCAAACAGAGCCUGCCACUGAGCCAUUUUCCCCUGCACUGCACACAGUUUCUGCUGCCAGGAUGAGUCACCAUGCAACACAUACCCUCAUCCCCUCCACUCUGUACUUAAAAUACUCUAGGGCUGGCCGCACAGAACCCCGCUGUGCAUGAGCACGUGUGCGAAGGUGGGAUUGGCAGCUCAGCCCUCUGGAGCCCUCUGCAGAGCAGACUGCAUUGUGUUGGUUCAGAAAGCCAAUGGCUGGGGAGGGGUGGGGUAGGGGGCGGUUAAGACUGGUUCUCCUUCCUGCAGCCUGCCAAGUUGCACCCUCUCUUUCGCAGGCACCUCCAUUUUAGCCUCUCUGAUGCAGAACAGAAGGCUCUUACUGCUGGGGGUUGAUUUGUCCUGCUUCUUCUCCUAGCUCAGCUUCCAACUGGCCAUCUUGCUACAAAACAGGAUGGCCUUGUCCUGCCUUUACCUGCCAGCCAGCCUCUGUCUCUGCCUCCAGGGUAGAUUCUGCUUCAAUCACAACAGUUUCUGGUUGUUUCCUGAGUUAGAACCAUUGUCUUUACUUGGACUGAGGUCCCCCCCAAGCCCCCUCUACUCUCUGCUGCCGUUCCUGCUGUCUGCUUCCCCUCUAGCUACCCACAUACAGAGCACUAACCUUGGACAGAACCAAUCACAGGACUCCAGAACCAUCCCUCUUCCCUAGCCUGUGUGGGGCAAGGGAUUAGGGGUUGUUCUUUUCACCCUGAGCCUUUAAACUGAGCUGAGGAAGUUAUUCCUCCUUCUUUCUGCAGAGAUUCACUGGACUUUCAAGGCGUUUAUUGAGCAGCUGUCUUAGUUCCCCAUGGCCCACACCCCCCUCCGCACCCAGCCGUGCACUCCACCUGCCAGGGGCACCCCUCCCUCUGGACAACCGCAGACUUUCCGCUUCCAACCUGCUGCUACAGCACUCUUUACAGAAGGGGCCUUGGAAUAAAAUCCCAGCCCAGCGCAGCCUAAAGGGACAUGGUGUGCUUGAGUUAUUCAUUACUUGAGUUAGAGGAGGUCACUGAGCAAUAAGCACACUGGAAAGGCAAGGGGAAAGGUGGCAUAGAGGGUGGGGAAUUUGGCAAGGUGGCCUUCUAGGGGCUGAUGGGAACUCGGAGUCCUGGCAGAGGGUGGGUAUCAGAAUGAGUAGAUGGCAAAGUCACAGCAACGGCAUCAAGGUUAGACAAGGUCAAAUGGAAACAGGCAACGGUAAUAAAGCUAGCUACUUAAUAGCUCUUGCUAUGCACAAGGCACUGUGCUUAACACUUUCUCACAUCUCCCCUUUAAUCCUUGCAACACUGUAUCCCUUCAAUUUUACAACUGAGGGAACAGCCCUGGAGAGAAUAAAUGACUUGCCCAAGGUCACAGCUAGCUGUUCUGAGGCUGGGAGUGUGAACACAAGUCUGUCUUGUUCUUCACCAGCUUGCUCUAUGCGGGGAGGUGGUUAGAUGGGUGGAACAAUUCCAGAUGGUCUAGAGUGGCCCUGCAGGUGGAAUUUGAGUAGCUUGCGGUGUGCACCGGACAAACACAUGCCCUUCCCAGUGACCUGUCCUGCUGGAAAGUCCUCCAUGAGACACUACAGGGGCAAAGCAGGAGGUGGCUUCCUUUCUCCACAAACUGCCCUCUCACCGCCCUUGACGGAGCCCUGCAGCAGUACCUCUGCGUCUCUGUGGAUGGUUGGCUGCUUCCCCCUGAAUUUCAGGAAAUUUCAAGUUUGUACAGGUCUUGCAGGAUGGGCCGCGUUGCCCCCCAGGGACGGGGCUUCUCUGCAGUGACUGCGGAAGCAUCCCUGCGUUUUCUGCUGUGUCACUGCCCUGAGAGGGGUGUGUGACGCUGCUCAGGGGCUCAGCAGAGGGGCCUGAAACCAAGAGUGUGGCUUUACAGCAACAGCACAUGAAUGACAGAAAAGCCCAGGACUGCCCGCGACGUCUCGCCCUGUGAGCUAGGUCUUCCCAAAGGGCCUGGAAGCGGUGGACCUGCAGCGGAGGGAGGCCCAGGGCGCGCGGGUGAGACCAGGCAGGGCUGGAGGGAGUGGGUCAGGACAUCCGGCCGGGCUCCCCAGGGCUCUGGGUGACUCAGGUGCAGGACACCCCACCACGGAAGGGGCGGCUGGCCCCAACGGCAGCGGGGAGGGCUGCGCCGCGCUGCCUGCGCGUUCGCCGCGGUUCCCUCCGCCCCUCUCCGCGCCCCCGCACUCCAGCCAGCCCCUCUCGCCUAGGCGGCUCCUUUGUGCCGGCCCCGCGCCCGCCCCUUCGGGCCCGAG